UUCAAGUACAGCACAAUCAGCAAUGUGAAGUAAUGAAGGGUUCUUAGCUCUUUUUAGUUGUCAGUGUUACAAUACCAGAUUGCACUAUAUUCUACUAAAUGCUCAACGUGUGCUCUUAGCAGUUUAGAACCUUCUACUUGUACUUGAAAACCCUAGACAUUAGUCCGUUCUUCUUGCAAAUAUACCAGUUUCUACAUGUUAGCAGGUGUUACAAUGCGUUUCGAAUCAACUGCUCUGCACUGAUGAUGUCAUCACAGCGGGUGGAAUUAAUAUCUUCAGAUCUGCUGGAGAGAUUGUGUGGCAUACUGUGUUGGUGGAUUAGGAGUGAGGGGGGGAAGUACAACACAUCUGAAGUCUAAACGUCCUGGAAUUGCAUUGGUUUCGUGCAGAUGUGACCCGAGCAUUUUCAGAAUUUCAGGCUUGUUGUUCAGCUGUCGUGCAAUCAUGUGGCGCCUGGUUACAUCAACCAAUGAGCUGAUGCAGCAUUGUGUUUCCUCAUAAAACCUGGGUACG